AUGUACAUAUCCCAAAACUUUCAUCAUCAAUUACCAACGAACAUGCUCAUUAAAUAUUUUGACUAUGAUCUUACCAUACCAAGUUCAAACAUAAUCAGCAAGCCAUUCCCAAACAUAUAGUGCUUACCACAUAUAUUAUACCUUCAUGGCACGCAACUUAGUAACCAAAAUUAAUAUAAACCUUAACUAACAUAACCAAAUUCUAAUAUAAUAACUUAGCCAUUUUUGCAUGGCUUAGAUUACACAUAACCAAAAAUCCAGCUUACAAAAGCACACUCUAGCCUAUACAUGCCAUAAUUCGAGUUUGAAUAUUAAAAUACCGAAGCUGUAGAUAGUGUGAUAGACUUUGCUGACGAUCCCCGAGAUUGUAACUCGAAUCAAAAAUCUAUAAAACAAAGACAUAUAUACACACGAUAAGCUAUUUAAGCUUAGUAAGUCAUAAGCAAACAAACAAACCGAUAACAUAAUCAACUUAUUUUAACCAACCAAAUUACAAUAUCAAUAUCAAGCUUAUUCUUAACUUUCAACUUCAAUAAUAAUAUACCUGAACACAUAUAUCCAUUACCUUGGCCGAAUGUUCACAAGAUUAAGUCAUCAAAUCAUUGUUCAAUUUUCGAAACCAAAUUAUCAAUAUAAAACCUAAUAUACAUACCUUUGUAUAAAUAAGCUUUUAAAUCAAGAUAAAAUUUAUAUACACACAUUAACUAAGUAACCGAAUAUGCAAAAUCAUUAUAUAUAUAUGCGAAAAUAAAAUCACACCAACAAGGAUCAUACUUCUAGCCCAUAAGGCCGAAUACACAUGAUAUAUUUACACAUAUACUUUUCAUUCAUGUCACAUAUGCUUGUAACUAAUAUCAUAACACUCACUUACCUUGUUGCAAAUAAAUACUAAAGUAAUACAUACCUGAUUACUUAGCUAAUUUUACAUAUUUUUUCCCCACUUAUCAAUGCCAGAUGAACCAUUCUGAAUUGGGUAGGGCACUCAGAUAAUCAUACAUGUAUCGUACAAUGCCAACGUCCCAGACGUGGUCUUACAUGUAAUCACAUAUCGAUGUCACUGUGCCAGACAGGGUCUUACUCGUACACAUAUAUCGGAAUCACAUAUCGAUGCCAUGGUCUUACUCGCACACAUAUAUCGGGAUCCUAUGUCAUGACAUAUGUAUCCUAACUAUUCCUGAGGUUCAUACAGGGCUUUCGGAUGUCAUAACUCAGUCGAAAUGAACUCGGAAUGUAGUAACUAAGCUUAUUCAUAUUCGACCAUAGUGUAUAUAAUUUCAUACAUUUGGUUCCAGCAUACAUAUUUAAUAUUAAACUACAAUUAAACACGUCUAUUUACUUAUAAACUUACCUCGGACGAUACAAAACGGAACAGGGCAGCUAGUCGACAACUUUCAUUUUUCCCCGAUCUAAAUCCGAUUUCUUUGGUUCUUGAUCUAAACAUAUUCAAAUUAAGCUCAUUAAAACAUAUUUUCAUUCAAUUUAGCCCAAAACACAUAAAUGGUCAAAUUACCAUUUUACCCUGACAUUUACACUUUUUACAAUUUAGUCCCUAUUGCACAAAACACAAAAUAUUCAAAAUUUCAAGGUACCCAUGUUUGGUUGAAUAUUCCUAGUGUUCACACAAGCCCAAAUAUUUUAUUUAUUUCACAUUUUAGUCCCUUAAAUUAUUAUUUUUUCAAUUUAGUCCUAAUUACUCAAAAUCAUCAAAAACUCCAAUACAAAAUAUGUUAAUCUAAAACAUAUCUUUCAUAUUUCAUCAUCAAACAAAAAAAAAUCACAAGCUAUGAACAAUGGCAUAACUCAAAAUAUUCAUCAAAAUCAAAAAUUAAAGCUUGAGUUUUGUAGUACUCGAAGCAACGAUCUCAAAAACGUAAAAUUUAUCAAAAACCGAGCUAGAACUUACCUUGAAUCAAGCUUGAAAGAGUCGAACCCUAGGUUUCUUUUCUCUUUUCUUUUGUUUUAAUGUUUCAGUCAUAGAAAUAAUAAUAUGAACAUGGUUUCUUAUUAUAUGUUUUAUUAUAUACUUAUUAUUACUUAUUUUACUAUCAUAACCUUAGUUAUAAAAUUACAAAAUCAUAUAUAACAUACCCAUUAUCGUCCACUUUACUUAAUAUUGGGCUAAUUGCAACAUAAAGGCUUCCAUUUAAAAAUCCAAGUGCAAUUCAGCCUCUUUUAGAAAUAACCACCUAAUUUUCAUUUUACGCGAUUAAGUCCUUUUAUUUAAUCGGACUCUCAAACGACAAAAUUAAAUCACGAAAAUUUCACAGACAUAAAUUCACACAAUAUAAACACAAAAAAUAUUUUUAAAAUAUUUUUUGACUCAGAUUCGUGGUCCCGAAACCAUCGUUUCGAUUAGGGUCUAAAUCGGGCUAUUACAUCAAUUCUAACCUAAAGAAUAAAAGAUCUAAUUGAUACUUUUAAAUAAAUUAUAGUACUAGGGCAUAAAGAGGGUCUUUAUGGUUUUUAUAAUAAUAAAAUAAAAUAACAUAAAAUAAAUAAAACUUAAGAGAUAGAAAAGUAGAGUAAAUCAUAUCUCGAUUAUGGGUGAUUAGCUCAUUUUGAUAAUCCACAUAACUGUUGCUUUAGGCUCCUCGUCAAUCAAAUAGUCACUACCCUAGCAAGACCUUCUAGUCUUCCACUAACAUAACGAGUCAAGAAGAACUACUUAUCUUUUAACAUCACAGUCCAGACUAGCUUGCGAUGAAGGUGUUCAUGAAUGGGCAAUAUUAAUUUUAGGUUAAUUCUAACCAUGAUGACUUAUCGAGGUUGUUAGGUCCAGGGUUUGUUUCACGUUCUUCCUUUCCUAAACAGUUGAUCCGUUGAGUGUCCCUACAAAACAAUUAAUAGAUCAUACCUCCACUCGCUAAUCCCCCACAGAGGGAUUAGUUUCUCAUGGCUUUCAUAAACAAUAUGGAAUAGAUGGAAGACUUAAUCAUAAUGAAUGAAUUGAAGUAAAGAGUUUAAGAAAAACCUAAUUGAUAUUGAUAAUAAAUAAGAAUCCACAAAAGUUGAUCUCCUUCACAAUUCAGAUAUCUUGAAAUACAACAAAGACAAAUAAACUAAACUCUAAAAAACCUAAGAAAGAAAGAAAACAAAACUAAAUCUAAAGAAAGAAUCUAAGCUAAUGGAAUGGUGUCUAUAACAUGUGCUAAAAGAGCCUAUUUAUAUCCUUCAGGUGGCCAUCGUCCUUACCCUAGGUCAGCUGAUGUUCUUGAGUUUUAAGUUUGAUUAUGCAGACCAAAAUGCCCUGCUUCGUGUUUAUUUUCCAUCCCAGAGUCGAUGUUGCGACACACCAGGACCUGUGUCACAACAGAUGUGGCAGUAUACUCCUUCUUGAGACGUCUUUAGGGAUAUGUCGCGACACUGUCAAUCUGUGUCACGACAUCGAAGGUAGUUUCGUACUCUCUCCAUUCUGCUCUAUAUGUUACGACAUUAGGCCUCCCGUGUUGCGACAUAGCAUCCAGUAUCGGUCUAAAAUGCCUUCUAAUGGUCUCUUAUACGCUCACAAGGUAUGUUAGCUCUCCCUUAGGCCUCUUUUGACCCUUAGGGUCAAUAAAAGACUCAAUUUUCACAUUUUGUUGAAGGUAAGUAAAGCUAAAGAAACUUAACUAAAAUAUAACGAAAAUGCUUAUAUUCGAGCUCCUUAAAUGUGAAAACUAGUUUAAUCUAUUACACUGAUUUAUGGCCGAUCAACCACCAUCUACCCUUUUUAACUUUUUUGUAGUCUUCAUAGUAUAAAUAGCAUCUUAACAAUGAUUAUGUUUGAUAUGUUUCGCGACGAGAUGAAGCUUGAUUGGUUUUACUUGACCAAAGUUUGCAUUGCUUGUCCAAGCCGGAUUACAAUUGUUUUGGUGAUUAUUUUGCACAGAACAUUGUACAAACUAAUUGGGUGAAAUUGAUUAAUAGUUUCUGCACUAGCAAUCUCAGUAUUAGAACUAGAAGAGUCUUGUUAAGUUUAGGAUCCAAGUAUUCCUUCGAGAACACGCGCUUUACUAAAUUGAAAACACUAACCCUCACAACCUCUCAAUUUGCUUAGUAGAAUUUGGCAUGAAUCCUAUCCACCCCAGAUACCUUAAGAGGAUUCAUACUGAAAAUAGAACAGCAAAUCUUCUUUAAAGUGACAUCAGCCAAUAACUCACAAGAAUAUUAGCCUCCAAAUUUGGGAAAUGUCUGCACAUAUGAAACCUCCCCAUCGAAUAAUUAUCAAUCGUAUAUAAAGAUGAGAAAAAAUCAAUCACAUGCCUUCGUAAAAUAUCCUUAUCAAAACACCAACCAAUCCCUUCGAUCAGUAAAGCUUCAAUUUUAUUAUGGCUCAUCUGCUUUAAUGUGUGAUUAUGGAAAAAAGCAGUAUUCUUGUCUCCAUUCAAUAACCACUCACUUCGAUAUGUUUGAAACCAAUGCAUUUCUUCUUGGUUUAGAAUGUGUUAUAAUUUGAGCCAAUUUUUUGUUCUCUAAAAUUGAGCCUCAUACUAAAACUUAUUUCUAAGGCUUACUACACACAUUCCAAUUCUCUCAGCUUCAUUCUUUUCCUGUUAAAAAUGUUAUCGAAUCCAAUUCUAUUCCACUCCUGUAUUGACUUCAAAAAUGUGUCAAUAUUCUGCAUAAAAUCACCCCCAGAAUCCUACACCUUCAAAAUCACAUCCUGGAAUUCCAAGUGUUGUAGCCAACUCACAAGGAAUCGGAAGGGGCGAACACCCCUCUGUACCUCUUUAGGGCUAUUUGACACCAAUAAAAUAUGGUGAUCCAACUUUAAUUUAUAAAGGUGUUUGAUUGUUGUAUUCAAGGCAAACCUCUACCAAUCAUCAUUGCAAAAUGACCUAUGUUUGAUUGUUGUAUUCAGGGCAAACCUCUACCAAUCAUCAUUGCAAAAUGACCUAUCAAGUCUAUGAAACAAUUGAACCCUACUCCAAGUGAACUUCGGUCCUUGGAAACCUAAAUCAUUGAAACUGUGAUGAAAGAAGAAAGACCUAAAAUUAUUACACCAAACCUAUAAAGCAUCUACACACCUUGUCCUUCAUCAGCACUCAUAAUCAUAUUAAAAUCACCUACCAUAAUCUAUGGCUCAUUAACUCCAGAAGCUAAAUGAGCAAUGUGAUCCUAUAAUUGUCUCCUUAAACCCCGUUGGAGGCUUCUAUAUAACAUUGUGCAGAGGAAAGGCAUUCAGAUUCUUUGGUCCCGAAUCCGCACAUGAAUAAACUAAAAAUGUGCCUUUGGGCUCUCCACACUAGUCCUCUCCUUCCACAACAACCAAAUAUAACCAAGAAAACUCAUGACAUUAACCCUAUAUAAAUAAUCAAAACCCAAUUUGGCAAUCACAGCCUCAACCUUAGAGACACUGAUUCUAGCUUCAAAAAUAGCAACAAAGUCCAAUCAAAAUUCUCUAUUAUACUCAUUUAAAAUCCUGUGAAAACGUGGAUGCCCACAACCCUGGCAAUUCCAAAAUAGAAACCAAAAAUCUAACCCUAUAAAAAAUAUUAAGUAAUAUAAAUAUAGGAAUUCUUUACCCCGAAUUAAGCUUCCUCAGCAUCUACCAAUGAUUCAUUACUCGAACCACCAUCCUCCACCUCAUCGUCCAUCAAUCUGGAGUUUUCUCCAUUAUAGCUAUGUAUCCCAUGAAUAAUUUCAUUCAUCACUAUCGUAAUGGUUAGAAAUGGUUUCUCGUGCGCUGACAAGGAGCAAGGAAUCUGACAAGUAUUUUCCCCUGCCUCUCCCCCAACCAAUCUGUUUGACCUGUGGCGAGAACUUUCUCCCAUUCGAAUUUCCAGUUUAGAACUAUAAUUUUUUUUUACAGAGUCCCCUAUCGGUUCUUUCCCCUUACUAGAAGGACAAGUCACCGCCACAUGAUUCCCAUAUCCAGUCUUGGGCCAGAUGCUUGAAAACAAUGCUCCUUAAGUUUUCCCCAAGAAAAAUGGUUCCCAUUUUAGAUCCAUCAUCAAAAGGGUUCUGGGCCAAUCCCAAA
rnacentral:lncRNA from 1 species